UCCGGGCUCGUCUAAUGGUAGGACAGCGGACUCUGACUCCGCCAGUCGAGGUUCGAAUCCUUGGCCCGGAGCCA
rnacentral:tRNA from 1 species